UACGGAGGAUGCAAGCGUUAUCCGGAAUGAUUGGGCGUAAAGCGUCCGCAGGUGGCAAUGUAAGUCUGCUGUUAAAGAGUCUAGCUCAACUAGAUAAGAGCAGUGGAAACUACAUAGCUAGAGUACGUUCGGGGCAGAGGGAAUUCCUGGUGUAGCGGUGAAAUGCGUAGAUAUCUGGAGGAAUACCGGUGGCGAAGGCGGCAUCCUGGACCGACAUUGACGCUCUAAACCGAAAGCUAGGGGAGCAAACGGG
rnacentral:rRNA from 1 species